rnacentral:snRNA from 1 species
AGAUGUAAGGGCGAUCUGGCUGUGACAUCUGGCACCCCAUUGAUUGCCAGGGUUGAUUCGGCUGAUCUGGCUGGCUAGGCGGGUAUCCCCUUCCUCCCUCACCAUUCCAUGCACAUCCCUCCUGAAGCUGUGUGCUGGGUCGAAGAAGACGACCAUCCCCAAACAGAGGAGAACGGUUCUUCGGUCAAGGGUAUAUGAGUAGCUGUGCUCCUCUGCUAGAACCUCCAAACAAGCUCUCAAAGGUAGGGAUCAUUUCCAUGCUAAGAACAUUGGAUAAAAAGUUAAUGGGUGACAGGAUGGCAUGGUCUUGAAAUAUCACCUCACCGAUU